UUAUAUUUCAAAAUUUUUGAUUUCGUUUACAUCAUGGCUACGAGUGGGAAGAAGUGCGUUUUUAACUGUAGCAUGAUCAGUGAAAAAAUAAUAAUUUUCGAAGAAGACAAAUUAAAAAAGUGCCAACAUAUUUCCAAAGUUCGUGUCGCUUUUGAUUUGAAAUACAGUGAUAUUGUGUUACCAGAAAUAGUAGACGGUGUCAGUCGUUAUCAUCGACUUUGCUAUAAAGCAUUUACAUCCAUCCAAAAUAAAUAUUUGGAUAAAUAUAACGGUAAGUUUGCAAUAUUCCUUGAAAGUUGUUAUUAUAUUAAAUUUAAUUACGCCUCGGUAUAAAUAAUCGAACUAUUAUCAAUUUGUACAGAGAGCAAUCAAUUGGAAGUAGCAAAAUCCUCACAAGGUCACACGUCCAUUGAGGCAUCUGCGUCUCCGCAGGCCGAACAUUCGGCAGGUAAUAAUAUAUUUUACAUACAUUAUGUUGUGUACGUUUAUAUUUAAACGCGAAAUAAAUUAUCGGACGAUUUAUUAAUUUUUACAGUGAGUAAUCAAUCCAUAGGAGAUGAUUUUCCGCAAGGUUCCACAUCUAUUAUUUCACAAUGCGACAAUUCAGCUGAAGAAAAUGACGAUAACGUUCGGUCGUCUGAUAUAUUCAGUGGCAGUCAACUUUCACAUGAACAAUUAGAUGUGGAACGACAACCUGAAAAUUCAAAAUUGAAGAAUGCAGGUAUCUGUUUGUUUUGUAAUCAAGCAAGGAAGAAGCAAGGGCAAAAAGCGCUUCUUUUGAUACGAUCUGAAAGUGAAAUUUUAAUUGAAAAAAUUGUCACAAAUGCAACUGCCUUAAAUGACAAUGAAACAUUAUCGUAAAUCGACAGAUUGGGGGAUAAUCGUGUUGUUUAUUACCAUAAUACAUGUAAAUUGAUGUAUUUUAAAAAACACAUUGCGGCUCCGGAGCCAAAACAGUCAGAUUGGCAUAUUGCAAGAAACGUUCAUGAGUUAGUUGACAAUGAACUGUAUUCUUUCAUCGCUGAAAAUACAAUAGGAAAGAAGCAAUGCUAUUCUUUAAAAUUUUUAGUACAGUAUGCCAAAAGUGCGUUGUAUAAAUUGUUUUCGGAGAAAUAUGAUAGUUUCGGACCUUUAAUAACGAGUACGAAAUUGCUUCAAAAGAUUGAAAAAAAAAUUGCCAAGCAGUUACAAAUAAUUGAAUUGCAUGACCGGAAAAUUUUUGAUAGAUAUUGGUCACCAUCUAUCAAAGAUUACGAAAGAUCUCAGCGAAGCGGUUCCUCUGGUAAUUUUCUGGACCUGAACAAUCAAGACCAUCAGACUUCAAUAAAGAACUCCGAAAUAGCUUUUUCAAAGAAGCACUCGUGAAAUUUUUAAUCGUCAAUUGGCAAAAUCACGAAUUAAUUCCAUUCUUUCACAAUAAAAAAGUGCUACUCAAUUUUGAUAACUGUUAUCAAUAUGAAGCUGUGAAUGAACGCAUAUUAUUUUCAAAAAAUGAUAAGUAUACUCUCGAUUUGCAUGAAGAAGCGGAUUCAAAAAUAGUAUAUCAUGCGUGCAAUAUCGAGUCAACAGCGAACAUUCUAAUAAAAUGCUCAGAUACGGAUAUCUUAAUUAUUAUGUUGGCUAAUAUGAUUCACGUACAACACAAUAGCAAAGUUUAUAUUCAAACAGGGGUUUGGAAUAAGCAACGAAUAAUUGACGUAUCGGCGUUGCAUGAAAAGUUAGGAGAGAGAAUGUGUCAAUCUCUGCCAGGAUUUCAUGCUCUAACUGGCUGCGAUUUUAAUCCCGCAUUAUUUCGUAAGGGAAAGCAACGUCCUUUACAGAUCUUAAAGAAAAAUGAAGACUUACAAAAAGCAUUCGGCCAAAUUGGACAUGAAGACUGUGAUGAAACCGCUGUUUUCCCGAUUCUUGAAAAGUUCAUCUGUAAUUUGUACAACUUUCCGUUGUUGAGCUCCGUAAAUGAUGCGCGAUUCGCCUUAUUUUUAAAAGCCUAUAAGGUCAAUGAUUUGGAGGAACCUUUCCAGAAAAAAAAAUUGCAGAAUUUUGACUCAUCCACUUUACCUCCUACCCAGGCUGAAUUAACGCAGCAUUUAUUGAGAACCAAAUAUAUUGCUACAAUAUGGAAAAAUGCUCAUAAGAAAAUUCCAUCAUAUUUACGACCAGAAACUUGCGGAUGGAUAUUAGUAGAGGGAAAUUAUACAUUUAAAUGGUUCGACGGACCGCAGCUGCCUAGUACAAUACAAGAUAUUAUUGAUACUGGAACAAACGAAGGCGAUGAAGACCCUAAUGCAGAAAGUGAAUCAAAUGAAGAAGAAUAUAUCGAUAGCGAAGGAGAUAUCACGUCCGAAUCAGAUUCCGAUUGCGAAUGUGACUGAAAAUGUUGAUGUGCAGCGCACUUUUUAACCUCGUCUGCCGCGGCUUUAGCCCUCAUUUUUUUGUCUGCCAUUUUGUAAAUGACUUUUGGAAUGUUUAAACUUUAAAAUACAAUAAUUGGA